rnacentral:rRNA from 1 species
UACGUAGGGGGCUAGCGUUGUCCGGAUUUAUUGGGCGUAAAGAGCUUGUAGGCGGCCAAGUAGGUCCGUUGUGAAAACUGGAGGCUUAACCUCCAGCUGUCGAUGGAAACCAUUUGGCUAGAGUACGGAAGAGGAGAGUGGAAUUCCUGGUGUAGCGGUGAAAUGCGCAGAUAUCAGGAAGAACACCCGUGGCGAAGGCGGCUCUCUGGGACGGUACUGACGCUGAGACGCGAAAGCGUGGGGAGCGAACAGG